GACCGUGCAGUAAUUUGACAGGGCAAG
rnacentral:sRNA from 1 species